UUGACCUCGAAUCAGGUAGGACUACUCUUGGUCAUUUAGAGGAAGUAAAAGUCGUAACAAGGUCUCCGUUGGUGAACCAGCGGAGGGAUCAUUAUCGAGUUAUUCAACUCCCAAACCCUAUGUGAACUUACCACUUGUUGCUUCGGCGCGCGCUUCGGCGCCGCCGAGGACACUUAAACUCUUUGUUUUUAUAAGCAUUUCUGAGUGGCCGAAAGGCAAAAAUACAAAUGAAUCAAAACUUUCAACAACGGAUCUCUUGGUUCUGGCAUCGAUGAAGAACGCAGCGAAAUGCGAUAAGUAAUGUGAAUUGCAGAAUUCAGUGAAUCAUCGAAUCUUUGAACGCACAUUGCGCCCGCCAGCAUUCUGGCGGGCAUGCCUGUUCGAGCGUCAUUUCAACCCUCGAGCCCGACUCUUUUGAGGACGGCUCGGCGUUGGGGGACGGCAGACUCCCCCCGGCAUCUCGCCGGGGACGCCGCCCCCGAAAUCUAGUGGCGGCCCUCCGAGGCGACCUCUGCGUAGUAACUUGUUCUCGCACCGGAAAGCUCAGAGCGGCCACGCCGUAAAACCCCAACUUUUUUCAGGUUGACCUCGAAUCAGGUAGGACUAC
rnacentral:rRNA from 1 species